CUAACAGCUGUCCGAGCGCCUUCAAAGAA
rnacentral:sRNA from 1 species